rnacentral:lncRNA from 1 species
CCGGAAGUUGCACCUGGAACUGUAGACCUGGCUGGGCUGAGGGGUGGAGGGUGCCCCACUGUAUGUAAUCCUGUCUCCGAGAGCUGGAAAGUAUGGCGAAAGGAAAGAGAUCUCAGACUUUGAGAAAUUCACCUACUCUCACUGCUGAAGUCUUCAACACCUGCUCCAAUUGUAACCAUCCUCAUCUGCUGUUGCUACUGUGGAUGUUGCGAUUCCUGACAAGUUCAGCACCUUCCUCCUUACUGCUACAGCCUCUGCUUUGGUUUACCACUGGCCCAGGAAAAGUGACACCUUCCUCAGCCUCAACUCCUGGCCAGUCCUGAUUGAUACUAUUGAG